ensembl:snoRNA
GACGAGGGAUGAUGACACAAAGGCCGAAUUGCAGAGCCGGGGCCCCAGGUGGUUCUCAGGUCUGGGCUCAGUGACAAAACUCCUGAAGCGACUCAUUAGUCUGACCUCAUC